rnacentral:lncRNA from 1 species
CAAAUCAAAAUCUAACACCAAUAUUCAUAAAUAUCAUGAUGUUUCAUGAUAAUUAUCUUAAUUGAGAAAUGAUGUAACACCCCUCCAUCCAACCUGAUCUCCGGGUCAAGAUACCGGGAUGUCACAUUCGUUGUUGGAGAAACUUUAAUAUUACCUUAUCAAAUAAACAUUCAUAUCACAUUAAUAAUAUGUUUAUCUAGCUUAAUUGAGCUUAAAAUAAGCUUUAGAAAACAUUUGGACAAAAUAAAACUUAAUUCGGGAUAAAAGGAUGAAAACUCAAGCACUUAGAAGCUCGUUACGAUGUCGGUCUUUCGUCAUGACGUCAAGGAAAUCCCUCGUCACGACGUCACUCUUUGAGUUGCCUCAUCGUGAUGUUAAUAUCCCGUCGUCAUGACAUCGGUUGUCAUGACUACGCGAAAUUUCUCGUCGCGACGUCAACCUUGCAAUUUCACAUAGUGCACAUUUUUUUUCUAUUUGAUGCCUAAAACUACUUUCAUAUGCCAUAUAACCUACCAACAUCCAAUAUCACAUUCAAAUAUACCAAUUACCAGCCUAAAUCCCAAAAUGCAAAGUUUACAAUAUAAGCCAUGGCACCUAUGUUUUCAUAACAUGUAUCCAAAAUACAUUUAACAUUGUUCUAUUGUACAUGCCAUAACUAAAUUCCAAAAUUUAGUCCAUACUCUCUUCAAGCUAUUCAGUACAACAGUGCUAUUUAGUACAACCUACCACCCAGAGACUGAUGGUCAAUCUAAGAGAUUAAACCAACGAAUAGAACAAUAUUUGAGAAGCAUGUGUUUGUUCAAACCUAAAGAUUGGGCUAAUUGGCUACAUAAGCUGAGUGGUGGUAGAAUUUUAACCACCACCACACAACUCUGGUAUGGACUCCCUUUAAAGCCCCUUAUGGGUAUAAACCCUAUAUUCUCGACUCGGAUAUCAAUUCCAUAGUAGACAUUGUAUAGUAGUUGAUGUAAGGCAAGGAAAAACUCAACAAUAUUUUAAUGGAGCAAUUAUAAAAGGCACAAAAUCGAAUGAAAGUAUAUGCAAACAAACAUCGAAGCAAAAGAACAUUUGAAGUGGGAGGCCAAGUUUACCUGAAACUGCAACCUUACAGAUAGUCAUCUAUGGCUUUGAGGAAAAAUCUGGAAUUGGUUGCACGCUAUUAUGGCCUUAUACAAUUGGAAAGAAGAUAAAAUUAAUGGCCUAUCAACUCAAGCUACCAGCUGAUGCCAAAAUCCAUUUGGUCUUCCACAUAAGCUUGCUUAAGAAACGAGUAGGGGACAAAGUCAUUACUAAAGAUUGGAGAGGACAGGUAACACUACAAAGUCUAUCUUGUAGCGGUUCUCGAUACUCGCAUCAUCAAAUGUCACAAUCAAGCUAUACUGUUAAUCCAAUGGAUCAAUUUAGGACCUGGACAAGCUACUUGGGAAGACUUUUCCGUUUUGCAAAGCCAAUUUAUUGAUUUGAUCCUUGGGGACAAGGAUCGAAUCAAGAAGGGGGUAUUGUCAUGAGUCUAAAAGAAAUGAAGGAUUUUGAAUUAUGACAGGGAAAGGCCAAUAAUUAAAGGGCCAAGAGACUGGGUAAAGCACUGAAACAGAUGGACAUGAUAACUAAUGGGCUUGAAGAGUGGAUCAGGUAUGAACGCAGAAGAAAUGGGAAAGGGAAAAGAAGAAGGGCCAACAAAUCAUAGAAUCCCUAAAAUGCUUAUGCCAACCGUCUAAAAAUAAUUC